AGUGAACGCUGGCGGUAGGCCUAACACAUGCAAGUCGAACGGCAGCACAGUAAGCGCUUGCUCUUACGGGUGGCGAGUGGCGGACGGGUGAGGAAUACAUCGGAAUCUACUUUUUCGUGGGGGAUAACGUAGGGAAACUUACGCUAAUACCGCAUAUGACCUACGGGUGAAAGCAGGGGAUCUUCGGACCUUGCGCGAUUGAAUGAGCCGAUGUCGGAUUAGCUAGUUGGCGGGGUAAAGGCCCACCAAGGCGACGAUCCGUAGCUGGUCUGAGAGGAUGAUCAGCCACACUGGAACUGAGACACGGUCCAGACUCCUACGGGAGGCAGCAGUGGGGAAUAUUGGACAAUGGGCGCAAGCCUGAUCCAGCCAUACCGCGUGGGUGAAGAAGGCCUUCGGGUUGUAAAGCCCUUUUGUUGGGAAAGAAAAGCAGCAGGUUAAUACCCCGCUGUUCUGACGGUACCCAAAGAAUAAGCACCGGCUAACUUCGUG
rnacentral:rRNA from 1 species